UUUCUCCCCGAGAGUGUAAAGUAACGAAUAUGCCCUCGUUAGUUAAGUGACAUGGAUGUACAUGUGCAUAUUUAAAUUAUUUUUCUCGCUAUCGUAAUUAAAUCGUACUCGACGUCACGAGCGCGUUGAUGCGAGUUAGGGCUGAAUUGGAGUAUUUAAAUUAUUUUCUCGCUAUCGUAAUUAAAUCGUACUCGACGUCACGAGCGCGUUGAUGCGAGUUAGGGCUGAAUUAGAGUAGUAACGAAAAAGGUUACGAACAAUUGAAUGCAUAACUGGGUAGAAUUAAGUUGUCUUUCUUUUGAAUGUUGAUCCAAACUCAACACUUAUCCACCCAAUUAUUUAGGCCUUAUAUCCCAUGGCCCAAUUAGAAAAUAUUUAUUUUCUUGUUCUGCCCAAUCAAACACACGCACGUACGCGUACACUCUCAUUCUCUCUCCUUCUCAAUUCUUCUUCUUUCUUCUUCCUUUGCAUCGUGACACACCCACACCCAAACCCAUCAAAAUCUCACAGAUCGAACGUGAGCUUUACAUCAUCGUAUUCCCCUUGACCUCACGAACUCAGUGAUACCACUUAACCGUUGAACGGACGAGUAUAACCUGAGAAACCAGAAGCCCUGACAAGGAGCAAGUUUACUCCGUCACGAUUCCGGCGAGUUUACAGAGUCUUAGGACCUGGAAAAGGACCCACGCAACUUCCCUAGAACUUUGGAGCAAGUUUGAAGUUAUGUUGACGUCGGAUCACACGGUUUUGAGAAGUUCUAGUUUUGGCCAGAAUUAUCGAGGAUUUUCCGACCGUUAUCCAUUGGAUUUUGGACUUCCAAUAGGUACGAACGUGUUCUACUCUUCGAGACCUUCAAAUCCUUGUAAAUUUCAUGGAUUUUGGUUAAGAAAUGAAGUAGAUAUAAAGCUUUGAAAAUUUUCCAAAAACCGACUAGUGCAGACUGUGGUCAGUGGCGGCAGACGGCAGAAACCGACGGGUAAUCGAAGAAGAAAAAGGAAUCUUUCGUUAACUUUAGUGGAAUAUUCUAACGGCGUUAGGUAAUGCCGUUGCCAUUUAACAGAAUGUUCCGCCUAUUUUAACGGAAGAUUCCUAAUGUCGUUAGGGUUUCUGUCAGUGUGCCGUGCACAUGCAUGCAUGUGGCCGUGCCUU
rnacentral:lncRNA from 1 species